GUCUAUGGCCAUACCACCCUAAAUGCACCCUGAAUGCUCUCUUCUGAUCUCAAAAGCUAAGCAGGAUUGGGCCUUUUUAGUACUUGAAUAGAAGAAUAGACUAUUAAAAGACACUAGAGAAA
rnacentral:rRNA from 1 species